rnacentral:rRNA from 2 species
GGAUAAGGAAAGUAAAGAAGGGCGCAUGGCGGAUGCCUUGGCUCUCGGAGGCGAUGAAGGACGUGAUAAGCUGCGAUAAGCUUUGGGGAGGUGCAAAUGACCUUUGAUCCAGAGAUUUCCGAAUGGGACAACCCAAUAUCUUGAAGAGGUAUUAUCCAACGUUGUUGGAGGCUAACGCAGGGAACUGAAACAUCUUAGUACCUGCAGGAAAAGAAAAUAAACAAUGAUUCCCCCAGUAGUGGCGAGCGAACGGGGAACAGCCCAAACCAUCCAUGUUACGGCAUGGGUGGGGUUGUAGGACUACGCCGUUGCAUGAAGACAUCAGAGAAGAACUUUCUGGAAAGAAAGACCAUAGAGCAUGACAGUUGCGUAUUCGAAUGUUGUCGAAGCAUAGUAGUAUCCUGAGUAGCGCGGAGCACGAGGAAUUCUGCGUGAAUCUGCCGGGACCAUCCGGUAAGGCUAAAUACUCCCGAGAGACCGAUAGCGAACCAGUACCGUGAGGGAAAGGUGAAAAGCACUUCGAACAGAAGAGUGAAAUAGUUCCUGAAACCGUGCGCCUACAAGCGGUCGGAGCUCGUUAAUGAGUGACGGCGUGCCUUUUGCAUAAUGAACCUACGAGUUGCCUUUGCCGGCAAGGUUAAGUGUGACGACACACGUAUCCGAAGCGAAAGCGAGUCUGAAUAGGGCGUAUAGUCGGCAGUGGCAGACGCGAAACCAAGUGAUCUACCCUUGGCCAGGUUGAAGGCUGGGUAACACCAGCUGGAGGACCGCACCAAUAAGCGUUGAAAAGCUUCUGGAUGAGCUGAGGGUAGGGGUGAAAGGCUAAUCAAACUUGGAGAUAGCUCGUACUCCCCGAAAUGCAUUUAGGUGCAGCCUUGCGGGUUACUGAUGUGAGGUAGAGCGACUGAUAAGAUGCGAGGGCUUCACCGCCUAUCAAGUCUUGACAAACUCCGAAUGCGCAUCAGUUCUACCGCAGGAGUGAGGGCAUGGGUGCUAAGGUCCGUGCCCGAGAGGAGAAGAAUCCGGACCACCUGCUAAGGUCCCGAAAUGACAGCUAAGUUAAACUAACGAAGUCUGACUGCUAAGACAGCUAGGAUGUUGGCUUGGAAGCAGCCAUUCAUUUAAAGAGUGCGUAACAGCUCACUAGUCGAGGAGUCGGGCGUGGAUAAUAAUCGGGUAUCAAGUUGUCUACCGAAGCAGUGGGAUCAUUUAUAUGAUCGGUAGGGGAGCAUUCCAGUCGGCGUCGAAGGCGUACCGCGAGGUAUUCUGGAGCGUCUGGAAAAGCAAAUGUAGGUAUAAGUAACGAUAAAGGGGGCGGGAAACCCCCUCGCCGAAAGACUAAGGUUUCCUGAUCAACGCUAAUCGGAUCAGGGUCAGUCGGGUCCUAAGGCUCAGCCGAACGGCGAUGCCGAUGGCAGAAACGGUUAAUAUUCCGUUACUACCUUCAGGAGUGACGUGGAGACGCAGUAGUGACAGUGCCGCCAUCUGACGGAAUAGAUGGUUGAAGGGUGUAGGAGUCGAUCAUGGCAGGCAAAUCCACCAUGAGAUCCGAACCUGACAGUAUGCCGCGUCCUUCGGGACAAGGCAAUAGUGCGCGUAAGCAUGCUGCCGAGAAAAUCCGCUAAACUUAAUCCUGCAGGUACCCGUACCGCAAACGGACACACGUAGUCGGGAUGAAUAUUCUAAGGCGCUUGAGUGAUUCACGGUUAAGGAACUAGGCAAACUGACCCUGUAACUUCGGGAUAAAGGGUCCCUACCCUUUUAUGGGAGGGCGCAGAGAAUCGGUCCAGGCAACUGUUUAACAAAAACACAGGGCUGUGCCAAAUCGAAAGAUCCAGUAUACAGCCUGACACCUGCCCGGUGCUGGAAGGUUAAGAGGAGAUGUCAUCGAUAAGAGAAGCGUUGAAUUGAAGCCCCAGUAAACGGCGGCCGUAACUAUAACGGUCCUAAGGUAGCGAAAUUCCUUGUCGGGUAAGUUCCGACCUGCACGAAUGGUGUAAUGAUCUGGACGCUGUCUCAACCGUGAGCUCAGUGAAAUUGUAGUAUCGGUGAAGAUGCCGAUUACCCGCGAUGGGACGAAAAGACCCCGUGAACCUUUACUAUAGCUUAUCAUUGAAUCUGGGCACGUGAUGUGUAGGAUAGGUCGGAGGCUUUGAAGCAGGUACGCCAGUAUUUGUGGAGCCGCUGUUGAAAUACGACCCUUUAUUUGUUUGGAUUCUAACCCGUGGAACGGGGACAUUGAUUGGUGGGUAGUUUGACUGGGGUGGUCGCCUCCAAAAGCGUAACGGAGGCUUCUAAAGGUGCCCUCCGGCCGAUUGGUAACCGGCCUUAGAGUGUAAUGGCAUAAGGGCGCUUGACUGGGAGACUAACAAGUCGAUCAGGUAGGAAACUAGAGCAUAGUGAUCCGGUGUUUCCGUAUGGAAGGGACAUCGCUCAAAGGAUAAAAGGUACUCCGGGGAUAACAGGCUGAUCCCUCCCAAGAGCUCAUAUCGACGGAGUGGUUUGGCACCUCGAUGUCGGCUCGUCACAUCCUGGGGCUGGAGAAGGUCCCAAGGGUUGGGCUGUUCGCCCAUUAAAGUGGCACGCGAGCUGGGUUCAGAACGUCGUGAGACAGUUCGGUCUCUAUCUAUCGUGGGCGUAUGAAAUUUGCGUGGCUCUGACACUAGUACGAGAGGACCGUGUUGGACAGACCUCUGGUUUGCCGGUUGUGCCGCCAGGUGCAUUGCCGGGUAUCUAAGUCUGGAUCGGAUAAGUGCUGAAAGCAUCUAAGUACGAAGCCGGCCACAAGAUUAGAUUUCUCAGGGUCGUUGUAGACUACGACGUUGAUAGGAUGCAGGUGUAAAGGUAGAGAUACCAAAGCCGAGCAUUACUAAUUGCCCGUUCACUUUCCUUA